rnacentral:misc_RNA from 1 species
GUUGUGUAUGAUAACAAACCGGGCUGCCUCGAGAUGACACGACUUUACAACCGCAUGUUGAGAGUUGUAGACGACAAUGCCAUCGAUGCUGUCAAGGCACAUAUGGGUGAUCUCUCUGCGGGUUUUCUUCUUUGCAAUAGUCUGUGCCAGAUUGAAGCCAUCUAUGAUGGUAUGCAGAGAAUUCUGACAGGCCCAGAGAUGAAUUCUGCUGCUGCUACACAGGCUAAAGUCGAGGAGCGGAACAGUAGUUUAACUAAAGGUGAUAUGAGGAGGGAAGUGAUGACAGAAUCUACACGGUCGCAGACUUCAAAA